CACGUGGGCAGGGUUUCCUGCAAGAUAGUGUUUAAGCAAUUAAUUUAUAGCCAAACUUAGUGAUGAAGAUAUUAUGUACAUAAGUGAUGUUAUUAGUUCAUGGGAUAAGACCAAAUUGAUUUAAAAAUGGGGUAAACUGCAGGCUUGGUAAACUAUUGAGCUGUUAUUGUGGCCACAUGACAACUCUAUACAUGUUAUCUGCCUUGUAAAUUUGCACGCACUUUUUAGUUUUCAGUGCGUAAGGGGAGAGGUAUUAGAAUUAAAUUAGGAAAAUUAAAUUUAUGGGGUUUUGGUCACCCUAUUUAUGGGAGGUUUUGGGAUGAAAUUUUGCAUAAUGCUAUGUGUGUAGCAUCUAUAAUAAGGAAUAAAGGAGUGGAGAUCAAAUCUCGGGGAAUGUUAUGGGGUGUGGGUACAGGUUAUACCCACUGAUAUGUUUCUUUAAUCUUUUUUAUGGCUCAGGAAUGAAGGAUAACUUGGUACCUGAGCUCAGCGGGAAAUAUGUAAGUGAAUGCCAGGGAUUUGGCCGCUGAAUCUUUUUGUUUUAUUUGGAAUGUGUUAUACUGAAAGGUAUAAGUGUAUAGAUAUGACAAGGGAAAUAUAGAUAUAAUAUUAAUGGAUGGGUUUUAUAUGAUGGGUUAAGGUAUGUCUGAGGACAGGACUGAAGCCGAGGGAUGGUAAGUGUCAUGAGCUGUGGGAGAGAUAAUGUAGCUGAAUGGAUGGUAGUUUAUUUAAGGAGCUAAAGUUAGGGGAAAUAGAGAAUCUUAAUGGGGAAAAUGAAAAUGGUCUAUAAUUAUAUGUAAAGUAACUGGGUAAACUACUGAAUCUUUAAGUCUACAUGAGGCAGGAGCGCUGCACGGAGCAGUCAUGCGCUGGGACACAGGAGUGACCUGGAGGAGUGUGAGAGAAUGGAUGAACUGAAGGUGGGUCAGCUGCAGACAAUCAUGGGUGUGAUUGGAGACGAAAUGCAGCUGGAAGUGUGAAUGUCAUGGAAGGAACGGGUGUGUGUGUGUGCCGAAGGGGAGCUGCUGA
ensembl:lncRNA